rnacentral:tRNA from 1 species
GCAUCGGUGGUUUAGUGGUAAAAUUAGCCGUUGCCAUCAUCUACUGAUCAAUUCGGCUAGCCCCGGGUUCGAUUCCCGGCCGAUGCA